rnacentral:rRNA from 1 species
GUGCCAGCAGCCGCGGUAAUACGAGGGGGGCAAGCGUUGUUCGGAAUUAUUGGGCGUAAAGGGUGCGUAGGCGGUUUGAUAAGUUUCAUGUGAAAUCUUCGGGCUCAACCCGAAGCCUGCAUGGAAAACUGUCGGGCUUGAGUAUGGGAGAGGUGAGUGGAAUUUCCGGUGUAGCGGUGAAAUGCGUAGAUAUCGGAAGGAACACCUGUGGCGAAAGCGGCUCACUGGACCAUAACUGACGCUGAUGCACGAAAGCUAGGGGAGCAAACAGGAUUAGAUACCCUGGUAGUCCUAGCCCUAAACGAUGAUUGUUUGAUGUGGUGGGUACCCAAUCCUGCCGUGUCGAAGCUAACGCGAUAAACAAUCCGCCUGGGGAGUACGGUCGCAAGGCUGAAGCUCAAAGGAAUUGACGGGGGCCCGCACAAGCGGUGGAGCAUGCGGUUUAAUUCGACGCAACGCGAAGAACCUUACCUGGGCUCGAAAUGUACAGGACAGCGGUAGAAAUAUCGUCUCCCAGCAAUGGGUCUGUAUAUAGGUGCUGCAUGGCUGUCGUCAGCUCGUGUCGUGAGAUGUUGGGUUAAGUCCCGCAACGAGCGCAACCCUUAUCUCUAGUUGCUACCAUUUAGUUGAGCACUCUAGCGAAACCGCCUCGGAUAACGGGGAGGAAGGUGGGGAUGACGUCAAGUCCUCAUGGCCUUUAUGUCCAGGGCUACACACGUGCUACAAUGGCCGGUACAAACCGCUGCAACCCCGCGAGGGUGAGCUAAUCGGAAAAAGCCGGCCUCAGUUCGGAUUGGAGUCUGCAACUCGACUCCAUGAAGCUGGAAUCGCUAGUAAUCGUGGAUCAGCAUGCCACGGUGAAUACGUUCCCGGGCCUUGUACACACCGCCCGUCACAUCACGAAAGUGGGUUGCACUAGAAGUCGGUGCGCUAACUCGCAAGAGGAGCAGCCGCCCAAGGUGUAAUUCAUGAUUGGGGUGAAGUCGUAACAAGGUAACC